rnacentral:rRNA from 1 species
AGAGCGAACGCUGGCGGCAGGCCUAAUACAUGCAAGUCGAACGAACCCUUCGGGGUUAGUGGCGGACGGGUGAGUAACACGUGGGAACGUGCCCUUUGGUUCGGAACAACUCAGGGAAACUUGAGCUAAUACCGGAUAAGCCCUUCGGGGGAAAGAUUUAUCGCCAUUGGAGCGGCCCGCGUCUGAUUAGCUAGUUGGUGAGGUAAAGGCUCACCAAGGCUUCGAUCAGUAGCUGGUCUGAGAGGAUGAUCAGCCACACUGGGACUGAGACACGGCCCAGACUCCUACGGGAGGCAGCAGUAGGGAAUCUUGCGCAAUGGGCGAAAGCCUGACGCAGCCAUGCCGCGUGAAUGAUGAAGGUCUUAGGAUUGUAAAAUUCUUUCAGCGGGGACGAUAAUGACGGUACCCGCAGAAGAAGCCCCGGCUAACUUCGUGCCAGCAGCCGC